rnacentral:rRNA from 1 species
UCGGGUUGUAAAGCACUUUUGUCCGGAAAGAAAACUUCCUGGUUAAUACCUGGGGAGGAUGACGGUACCGGAAGAAUAAGCACCGGCUAACUACGUGCCAGCAGCGCGGUAAUCGUAGGGUGCGAGCGUUAAUCGGAAUUACUGGGCGUAAAGCGUGCGCAGGCGGUUCGUUAAGACAGAUGUGAAAUCCCCGGGCUUAACCUGGGAACUGCAUUUGUGACUGGCGAGCUAGAGUGUGGCAGAGGGGGGUAGAAUUCCACGUGUAGCAGUGAAAUGCGUAGAGAUGUGGAGGAAUACCGAUGGCGAAGGCAGCCCCCUGGGCCAAUACUGACGCUCAUGCACGAAAGCGUGGGGAGCAAACAGGAUUAGAUACCCUGGUAGUCCACGCCCUAAACGAUGUCAACUAGUUGUUGGGGAUUCAUUUCCUUAGUAACGUAGCUAACGCGUGAAGUUGACCGCCUGGGGAGUACGGUCGCAAGAUUAAAACUCAAAGGAAUUGACGGGGACCCGCACAAGCGGUGGAUGAUGUGGAUUAAUUCGAUGCAACGCGAAAAACCUUACCUACCCUUGACAUGGUCGGAACCCUGCUG